UGGAGACAAAUCCUACAGAAAAUAAUCAUAAACAAACCAUUACGUCGCAUUUUGGGAAUCGUCAAGAGACGCUCCUGACGAUGACUAUCCGCACAGAGUCAGAGGAAGAAAAGCCCAAAAGGCAAGUGGGGAUGUCUGUGUGCUAUAUGAUAUUACCGUGACUCCUAAGAUAAAGAUAUCAUACGUUAUUGGUUUAGACUUGCAAUGAGAAAGAGGGAGAGACGAGCGCAAAUAGAUAACGGGGGCGAGAGAUGCACACAUGUAUAGACAGAGAGAGAAAGAGAAAGAGAGAGAGAGAGAAAGGAUGUUCAAAUAUAUUGCUUCUUUGCUUUGAGCCUCUUCUAUGCCAAACAGCUGGAGCUCUGCAUGAAAACCACACUCAACUCCACAACAAGCCCGCUUGUUAGCCUCUAACAGCGCCUGAUCCGCUUUUAUACCCUCUGUGCUCCGCUCGUACCCUCUGCAACAUGUAAAACCAUCAUUUACCCGAGUCUAAUUUAGCCGUGUGGAUUUACAUGCAGCGAGGCACGUUUUGGAGACGCAGUAAACAGAGCUUCCUUUCGAAAGAGAAAACAGGUUGCAUUCGAGGCCACAAAGCAGCAUGUUACCGAAAAACUGGAAAUGAGGACUUGACAUAAUUAUUAAUUAGUCAAUAUUACUGAAUGGAAAAAGUCUGUCUUUGGUUUCCUCCCUCCGGCUCAAUCGAACGCAGCCAACAUGGAGCUAAGCUAAACAACACCAGCCAGUUAAUCUCCUCCACCAUACAGUUCAGAUGCUGAUAAUGUCCACGGGUCUUAAGCGAGCGAGCCGAGCCCAGCUUUUUUAGAUUUACUUGUUUGCUGUUGUUUGCUGUCUUUAAGUGGUCUUUUAUUAAAGCCAGCCAUCUUCCACGGAGCCUGAAUGCUUUUCACUAUUCCUAAUGCUAAUGACAACCUGAGAAUGCAUUAUUCUGCAUUAGUUUCAUUUCCCUGUGAGCCUCCAAAUGGCGACAAACUGUCUUGUAACCAUUAGGGCUUUAACUUGCAUGAGGCACGCCACCCACGACCUUUGACAAUGGGGCACGUUUGACGGAUGUUUGUCAAAUCUAUGACUGAAAAAAAAAAAGAAAUAAGCGAAAAGUCGAUGCGAAACUUUGAGUGUGCAUCCUGUCUGGUUUGCAUAAAAGAAAAAGUGAACAUCUUCGAGCGCAUGUGGUUUUUUUAAUGAAUUUACCUGUGUGCGUUGCUUCUGUUAUGCAUGUGUCUGUGUGUGCAGCACUGAGGACUCCCUGCUGACCUGCUGUUUGGCUACAGAGAGCCAGAGUGGAACCGGCCAUAUUACUGUUCUUACCCUGCCAUCUGCUGGCUCACAUCAUCCCAGACCCUGCGUUCAUCCAACAUCACAUCUACACCUCUCUUUCUCCUUCUCCCACACACACACUCAUCUCUCCUUCCUCUUUCCUCCUAUUUUUAUCCAUCUCUCGUCGCCUUACUGUUUCCCCUUUCUCUGCAUUUCUACAUUUGCCUUUGUCUCUCUGUUUCUCUUUACUCAGGAGCAUCAUCUGCCCUCCAUGUGCCUUCACAGAGAGAGGGAGAGAGAAGGGGGGAACCAAAGGGGAGCGACGCACGAUUGUUAUCGAAAAAUAAGCAUGGUGUUUGAAAGGGAUUUUAAUUGAGGCAUUCGUUAU